rnacentral:lncRNA from 1 species
AGAACUCAUCGUUUCUUCAUCUCCGCCUUUUAUUUUUCAAGUUGUCAUGCAUCAAGUGAAGAAACACGGCUCCGCUUCGUCGAUUCGUGACUCAGCAUCAUCAUCAAUACUUAGACCGAUUCCCUUGUACGCGUGCGAAAACGGAGAAAAACGGAAUUAACAUCAAGAGACUCACCAGAUUUGAAGCUUUGAUUUCCAACAGGUAUGAAUUCUG